GACGAACGCUGGCGGCGUGCCUAAUACAUGCAAGUCGAACGAGAGCGACCGGUGCUUGCACUGGUCAAUCUAGUGGCGAACGGGUGAGUAACACGUGGGUAACCUGCCCAUCAGAGGGGGAUAACAUCCGGAAACGGAUGCUAAAACCGCAUAGGUCUUCGAGCCGCAUGGCUUGAAGAGGAAAAGAGGCGCAAGCUUCUGCUGAUGGAUGGACCCGCGGUGCAUUAGCUAGUUGGUGAGGUAACGGCUCACCAAGGCCGUGAUGCAUAGCCGACCCGAGAGGGUGAUCGGCCACAUUGGGACUGAGACACGGCCCAAACUCCUACGGGAGGCAGCAGUAGGGAAUCUUCCGCAAUGGACGCAAGUCUGACGGAGCAACGCCGCGUGAGUGAAGAAGGUUUUCGGAUCGUAAAACUCUGUUGUUAGAGAAGAACAAGUGCUAGAGUAACUGUUAGCGCCUUGACGGUAUCUAACCAGAAAGCCACGGCUAACUACGUG
rnacentral:rRNA from 1 species